rnacentral:rRNA from 1 species
AGCGUACACGGUGGAUGCCCUGGCAGUCAGAGGCGAUGAAGGGCGUGCUAAUCUGCGAUAAGCGCCGGUAAGGUGAUAUGAACCGUUAUAACCGGCGAUACCCGAAUGGGGAAACCCAGUGUGUUUCGACACACUAUCAUUAACUGAAUCCAUAGGUUAAUGAGGCGAACCGGGGGAACUGAAACAUCUAAGUACCCCGAGGAAAAGAAAUCAACCGAGAUUCCCCCAGUAGCGGCGAGCGAACGGGGAGGAGCCCAGAGCCUGAAUCAGCAUGUGUGUUAGUGGAAGCGUCUGGAAAGGCGCGCGAUACAGGGUGACAGCCCCGUACACAAAAGCGCAUGUGCUGUGAGCUCGAUGAGUAGGGCGGGACACGUGGUAUCCUGUCUGAAUAUGGGGGGACCAUCCUCCAAGGCUAAAUACUCCUGACUGACCGAUAGUGAACCAGUACCGUGAGGGAAAGGCGAAAAGAACCCCGGCGAGGGGAGUGAAAAAGAACCUGAAACCGUGUACGUACAAGCAGUGGGAGCACAGGUUUACCUGUGUGACUGCGUACCUUUUGUAUAAUGGGUCAGCGACUUAUAUUCUGUAGCAAGGUUAACCGAAUAGGGGAGCCGGAGGGAAACCGAGUCUUAAUUGGGCGUUAAGUUGCAGGGUAUAGACCCGAAACCCGGUGAUCUAGCCAUGGGCAGGUUGAAGGUUGGGUAACACUAACUGGAGGACCGAACCGACUAAUGUUGAAAAAUUAGCGGAUGACCUGUGGCUGGGGGUGAAAGGCCAAUCAAACCGGGAGAUAGCUGGUUCUCCCCGAAAGCUAUUUAGGUAGCGCCUCGUGAAUUCAUCUCCGGGGGUAGAGCACUGUUUCGGCUAGGGGGCCAUCCCGGCUUACCAACCCGAUGCAAACUGCGAAUACCGGAGAAUGUUAUCACGGGAGACACACGGCGGGUGCUAACGUCCGUCGUGAAGAGGGAAACAACCCAGACCGCCAGCUAAGGUCCCAAAGUCAUGGUUAAGUGGGAAACGAUGUGGGAAGGCCCAGACAGCCAGGAUGUUGGCUUAGAAGCAGCCAUCAUUUAAAGAAAGCGUAAUAGCUCACUGGUCGAGUCGGCCUGCGCGGAAGAUGUAACGGGGCUAAACCAUGCACCGAAGCUGCGGCAGCGACACUAUGUGUUGUUGGGUAGGGGAGCGUUCUGUAAGCCUGUGAAGGUGGCCUGUGAGGGUUGCUGGAGGUAUCAGAAGUGCGAAUGCUGACAUAAGUAACGAUAAAGCGGGUGAAAAGCCCGCUCGCCGGAAGACCAAGGGUUCCUGUCCAACGUUAAUCGGGGCAGGGUGAGUCGACCCCUAAGGCGAGGCCGAAAGGCGUAGUCGAUGGGAAACGGGUUAAUAUUCCCGUACUUGGUGUUACUGCGAAGGGGGGACGGAGAAGGCUAUGUUGGCCGGGCGACGGUUGUCCCGGUUUAAGCGUGUAGGUGUGUGUUCCAGGUAAAUCCGGUUCACUUUAACACUGAGGCGUGAUGACGAGGCACUACGGUGCUGAAGCAACAAAUGCCCUGCUUCCAGGAAAAGCCUCUAAGCAUCAGGUAACAUCAAAUCGUACCCCAAACCGACACAGGUGGUCAGGUAGAGAAUACCAAGGCGCUUGAGAGAACUCGGGUGAAGGAACUAGGCAAAAUGGUGCCGUAACUUCGGGAGAAGGCACGCUGACAUGUAGGUGAAGUGAUUUACUCAUGGAGCUGAAGUCAGUCGAAGAUACCAGCUGGCUGCAACUGUUUAUUAAAAACACAGCACUGUGCAAACACGAAAGUGGACGUAUACGGUGUGACGCCUGCCCGGUGCCGGAAGGUUAAUUGAUGGGGUCAGCGCAAGCGAAGCUCCUGAUCGAAGCCCCGGUAAACGGCGGCCGUAACUAUAACGGUCCUAAGGUAGCGAAAUUCCUUGUCGGGUAAGUUCCGACCUGCACGAAUGGCGUAAUGAUGGCCAGGCUGUCUCCACCCGAGACUCAGUGAAAUUGAACUCGCUGUGAAGAUGCAGUGUACCCGCGGCAAGACGGAAAGACCCCGUGAACCUUUACUAUAGCUUGACACUGAACAUUGAGCCUUGAUGUGUAGGAUAGGUGGGAGGCUUUGAAGUGUGGACGCCAGUCUGCAUGGAGCCGGCCUUGAAAUACCACCCUUUAAUGUUUGAUGUUCUAACGUGGACCCGUGAUCCGGGUUGCGGACAGUGUCUGGUGGGUAGUUUGACUGGGGCGGUCUCCUCCUAAAGAGUAACGGAGGAGCACGAAGGUUGGCUAAUCCUGGUCGGACAUCAGGAGGUUAGUGCAAUGGCAUAAGCCAGCUUGACUGCGAGCGUGACGGCGCGAGCAGGUGCGAAAGCAGGUCAUAGUGAUCCGGUGGUUCUGAAUGGAAGGGCCAUCGCUCAACGGAUAAAAGGUACUCCGGGGAUAACAGGCUGAUACCGCCCAAGAGUUCAUAUCGACGGCGGUGUUUGGCACCUCGAUGUCGGCUCAUCACAUCCUGGGGCUGAAGUAGGUCCCAAGGGUAUGGCUGUUCGCCAUUUAAAGUGGUACGCGAGCUGGGUUUAGAACGUCGUGAGACAGUUCGGUCCCUAUCUGCCGUGGGCGCUGGAGAACUGAGGGGGGCUGCUCCUAGUACGAGAGGACCGGAGUGGACGCAUCACUGGUGUUCGGGUUGUCAUGCCAAUGGCACUGCCCGGUAGCUAAAUGCGGAAGAGAUAAGUGCUGAAAGCAUCUAAGCACGAAACUUGCCCCGAGAUGAGUUCU